AGGAUGACAGCAGUAGUAGUAGUGAUGAAACUGAUAGUGAAGAUGCAACUCCUCCUAAACUGGUUGCUAAACCUACUAAUGAUGCUAAAGACAGUGAUUCAUCUGAUGACUCCUCUUCUGAUGAUGACAGUGAAGAGACAAAGGAACCAGCUAAAGCCGGUAC